CUGAUUCAGGCUGGUUCCAUCCCAGGCUUCCCUUUGCACUGGAGGGUCCGGGAGAUGUGCAGGAAGAUAAAACACACCUUGUUGUCCCCCCCCAGUUCCUGCUUCUCUGUUCCUUUCUCUCCCUGCCUCUCGGGCGGUCAGAUGCUGCCCCUGCCAGCCUGGGCUUGGAUUCCAGUCUAGUGACCCGAGUCCAUGACGGAGUCCCAUAAAUCCUGCGUGGGAAGUCAUUCAGCACCUUAGCGCUUUCUCGUGUGUACAAAGGGAUAAAAGUGGUCCUCAUCUUAGGACUGAAAAUGAAACACCUUCAAAGCACAGCGACGGUCACAUUGUAGUGAUUCACAAAGAAAUAGCCCUGAUUUGAUGUGGACAGCAAUGCAGCAACUAAAAAGUUGUUUCUGAACUUCCCUUGCAGUUGAGGAUAUUCAAAUGACUGCGUUUUGAUCAUUAAUGGUUCUCAUGGAAAAGAUGGCUGCAUGCAAGAUGAAUGUCAGUUUUCCUUGCAACACAUCCAUACACAGUGCUCCGCUCCCUUGAACUUCAAAGAGAAGCCCCCUCCGGGAAACUUGACUUGUCGUAAUUAAGAGUGUUGAGCUUCUCCUCAUCAAUAAUUCUCAUUGCUGGAGACUAGGACUCUGGAGGUCUCCAUCUUAAUGAAACUUGUCAACCAACAGAGCACCCCAGCUGAGGAAUAGCUCAACUACCCGGACCCCAAAGACCCUUGUCCAGGGACCAUU